AGGAGUACUGGAGAAAUCAUUAAUGUAGAAUUUUAUUUAUAUGUAAUACAUUCUUAAGGACUAGCUCUGAAUUAACACAUUUUUCUUUUUCAGAGUCCUUAUAGGACAGUUCUUCGAGAUAAUGCAAUACCAACAAUAUUUGAUCUUACCAGUCAUUUGAACAAUCCACAUAGUAGACACAGAAAACGAAUAAAAGAAUUGAGUGAAGAUGAAAUCAGGACACUGAAACAGAAAAAAAUUGACGAAACUUCUGAACAGGAACAAAAACAUAAAGAGAUCAACAACACCAAUGCUCAGAACUCCAAUACAGAAGGGGGUGAAGAACAGGAUGAAGACAUUUUACCUUUAACCCUUGAGGAGAAGGAAAACAAAGAAUACUUAAAAUCUUUAUUUGAAAUUUUGAUUCUUAUGGGAAAAGAAAACAUAUCUCUGAUGGACAUGAAGCUGAUGAAAUCCCAGAAGGUCUCUUUACUCCUGAUAACUUUCAGGCACUGUUGGAGUGCCGAAUAAAUUCUGGUGAAGAGGUUCUGAGAAAGCGCUUUGAGACAACAGCAGUCAACACACUGUUCUGUUCAAAAGCACAGCAGAAACAGAUGCUAGAGAUCUGUGAGAGCUGCAUUCGGGAAGAAACGCUCAGGGAAGUGAGAGACUCUCACUUCUUUUCGAUUAUCACUGACGACGUAGUGGACAUAGCAGGGGAAGAGCACCUGCCUGUGUUGGUGAGGUUUGUUGACGAAGCUCAUAACCUGCGAGAGGAAUUUGUGGGUUUCCUGCCUUAUGAAGCUGAUGCCGAAAUUUUGGCUAUGAAAUUUCACACUACGAUAACUGAGAAGUGGGGAUUAAACAUGGAAUAUUGUCGUGGCCAGGCUUACAUUGUGUCCAGUGGAUUUUCUUCCAAAAUGAAAGUUGUUGCUUCUAGACUUUUGGAGAAAUAUCCCCAAGCUGUCUACACACUCUGCUCUUCCUGUGCCUUAAAUAUGUGGUUGGCAAAAUCGGUGCCUGUUAUGGGAGUGUCUGUUGCGUUAGGAACAAUUGAGGAAGUUUGUUCUUUUUUCCAUCGAUCACCACAACUGCUUUUAGAGCUUGACAAUGUAAUUUCUGUCCUCUUUCAGAACAAUGAAGAAAGGGGUAAAGAACUGAAGGAAAUUUGCCAUUCUCAGUGGACAGGCAGGCAUGAUGCUUUUGAAAUUUUAGUGGACCUCCUACAAGCACUUGUUUUAUGUUUAGAUGGUAUAAAUAAUGAUACAAAUAUUAGAUGGAAUAACUGUAUAGCAGGCCGAGCAUUUGUACUCUGUAGUGCAGUAACAGAUUU